ACGCUCGACACCUACGGGAAGCAGCAGUGGGGAAUAUUGCACAAUGGGGGAAACCCUGAUGCAGCAACGCCGCGUGAAGGAAGACGGUUUUCGGAUUGUAAACUUCUGUUCUUAGUGAAGAUAGUGACGGUAGCUAAGGAGCAAGCCACGGCUAACUACGUGCCAGCAGCCACGGUAAUCUGAGCGGGCUGGCAAGGC
rnacentral:rRNA from 1 species